rnacentral:sRNA from 1 species
AUAAAUAAUGCCUUUGUAUGUCCCUGAAACGUUAAAUAUUUUCAUUUUAUGGUUAAAAAGUGAUGGAGUAGUGAUGCGUGGGAUUUCUUCCUGUCAGUUUCACCAUUUCCCUUUGUCCUUCUAGGGCCCAAUCCUAUGCGGAGAGACUGCGUCUGGGUUUGGCCGUCAUCCACGGGGAAGCUCAGUGCACGGAACUGGACAUGGACGAUGGUCGUCACUCCCCGCCUAUGGUCAAAAACGCUACUGUGCACCCAGGCCUGGAGUUGCCGUUGAUGAUGGCCAAAGAGAAGCCACCAAUAACUGUAGUUGGAGAUGUUGGAGGCCGCAUCGCAAUCAUCGUGGUAUGGUUAUGUGUCAUGCAUGUGCAGAGGUGACACUCCUGGCUCUUGGUCAGUAGGUUGUCCACUCUGGGACUGUAUUUCUAGGAAUGAUGAUCCGAAUGGAUCCACGUAUCCUUUCUCACCCAAACUCCCUUGUGCCAAGUGGCAGAAACCUGUACCGAGGUGAACACACAUUAAAGUAUAACCUACAGAUAGGAAAUGAGCAUAGUACUCCCAUGAG